ensembl:lncRNA
CGGGCAGGAGCGCGCUAGUGAAAACGAUCGCAACACGCGGGGGGAGUCGGAAUAGCUAAUCAGAUCGUCAAUGCAGUGCGGGGGGGCGUGGCAUGUAAGUAACCGGUAAACACAGAACUCCGCUCGAAACACGCACAACGGAGGUGAGAAAGAUAGACGUCCAGACAGAAUUGCGUUGUUCAGCGCGUCUACUAAGCACAAGCAACAGCAGCAAGAGGCAGGAUAAACGCCUCUGCCGAAUGAAUUCUGAGUACCAAGUCAUUCAUUAUUGACCAGGUGUCACUACAACUUGUCCUCUUCUGGCUGUGCUGGGGGAGAGGAACCAGGCUCUGCGGGGUGACCAGUCCUCUUCUGGCUGUGCUGGGAGAAGAUAAGAGUACAUGGCCAUUUUUGUUAAAGCCAGAACGUUCAAGAUGUUCAAACGUAAAUAGACUCUCAGCAGGGUCAGAUCUCAAAUUAUCUCAUUCUAAAAUCUGACCUCUCCACUGGGGGGGGGGGACAAACUGAUGCGACACCUAUCUAUUGUUGUGACUUCCUGAACCUACCAUUUGGUAUUGAAACCAAACCAUACGAUUUUAAUGAAAGAUAUUUUAAUGAACAUGAACAUGUGAGUGUAAGAAGCACACAUUUCAAAUAGUCUACAUAUCAUAUUAAACAGCAUAUAGACACACUAAAUAGGUUGGAAGCCAGACAGGGAGCCUAAGAAGGAACUAAAAUGUUUUAAUUCAGUUUCAAGGCUAUAACCCACGAAAAAAUACUUUGAAGCAUUAGUGAUUGUGACACAGUAGCCUGUUAAGGACAUAAAGCGCUCAGUAUUUAAACAUUUUGUUGUGUUGUCAUUAUAGUCUAUACAUUUCACAUCUAGACUGUGACUUAGAA